AGUAACGCGUAGGUAACCUGCCUUGUAGCGGGGGAUAACUAUUGGAAACGAUAGCUAAUACCGCAUAACAAUGGAUGACCCAUGUCAUUUAUUUGAAAGGGGCAAUUGCUCCACUACAAGAUGGACCUGCGUUGUAUUAGCUAGUAGGUGAGGUAAUGGCUCACCUAGGCGACGAUACAUAGCCGACCUGAGAGGGUGAUCGGCCACACUGGGACUGAGACACGGCCCAGACUCCUACGGGAGGCAGCAUG
rnacentral:rRNA from 1 species